GUUUUCCCUGCCCUGUAAUAGAUUGAAAAACUGUUGAACAUCUUUCGAAGUAAAUUACACGCGAGCCGUAGAGCUUCAGUUAUUGGAAUUUGCCGUUUUUAAUUGUGAGACGAUGAUGAUACAAAUGUGAAAACGAUUGUUUGUGUACAAAGCGUAUGUGGCACCUUGUCAUUGGAAGACACGUCCUUUCCGGUGAUUCGUAAAGUGCCACAAUAUUUCCUAUUUAUUAAGAUAUAUCGUAUUUAUUACGUUAACAGUUUCAGGAUGAUGCAAGAUGUGUUAGAAGCUAAUGACCCCAUCUCACAGCCAGGUCUCAUCCAGAGAUUAAGCACAAGCAUUAAAAGGGUCUUUGAAAUAGGAAUAAUCAUU